GACGUAGGGCGCGAGCGUUGUCCGGAUUUAUUGGGCGUAAAGAGCUCGUAGGCGGCUUGUCGCGUCGUCUGUGAAAACCCGCGGCUCAACUGCGGGCCUGCAGCCGAUACGGGCAGGCUAGAGUUCGGUAGGGGAGACUGGAAUUCCUGGUGUAGCGGUGAAAUGCGCAGAUAUCAGGAGGAACACCGGUGGCGAAGGCGGGUCUCUGGACAGUUCCUGACGCUGAUGCGCGAAAGCUAGGGGAGCGAACGGG
rnacentral:rRNA from 1 species